rnacentral:rRNA from 1 species
GUGGGGAAUCUUAGACAAUGGGGGCAACCCUGAUCUAGCCAUGCCGCGUGAGUGAUGAAGGCCUUAGGGUCGUAAAGCUCUUUCGCCGGGGAAGAUAAUGACUGUACCCGGUAAAGAAACCCCGGCUAACUCCGUGCCAGCAGCCGCGGUAAUACGGAGGGGGUUAGCGUUGUUCGGAAUUACUGGGCGUAAAGCGCGCGUAGGCGGAUCGGAAAGUUGGGGGUGAAAUCCCGGGGCUCAACCCCGGAAUUGCCUUCAAAACUCCCGGUCUUGAGGUCGAGAGAGGUGAGUGGAAUUCCGAGUGUAGAGGUGAAAUUCGUAGAUAUAGGAAGGAACACCAGUGGCGAAGGCGACUACCUGGACUGAUACUGACACUGAGGUGCGAAAGCGUGGGGAGCAAACAGGAUUAGAAACCCGGGUAGUCC